AUUCCAGCUCCAAUAGCGUAUAUUAAAGUUGUUGCGGUUAAAAAGCUCGUAGUUGGAUUUCUGCUGAGGACGACCGGUCCGCCCUCUGGGUGAGUAUCUGGCUCGGCCUUGGCAUCUUCUUGGGGAACGUAACUGCACUUGACUGUGUGGUGCGGUAUCCAGGACUUUUACUUUGAGGAAAUUAGAGUGUUUCAAGCAGGCGCACGCCUUGAAUACAUUAGCAUGGAAUAAUAAGAUAGGACCUUGGUUCUAUUUUGUUGGUUUGCGUGUCGAGAUAAUGAUGAAUAGGGUCAGUUGGGGGUAUUUGUAUUCCAUAGUCAGAGGUGAAAUUCUUGGAUUUAUGAAAGAUGAACUCAUGCGAAAGCAUUUACCAAGGAUGUUUUCAUUA
rnacentral:rRNA from 1 species